rnacentral:tRNA from 1 species
GCGAGGAUGGCGGAAUUGGCAGACGCGCUAGGUUGAGGGCCUAGUGAGGGAAACCUUAUGGGGGUUCAACUCCCCCUCCUCGCACCA